GACGUAGGGCGCGAGCGUUUGUCCGGAUUUAUUGGGCGUAAAGAGCUCGUAGGCGGCUUGUUACGUCGACUGUGAAAACCCACGGCUCAACCGUGUGGUCUGCAGUCGAUACGGGCAGGCUAGAAUUCGGUAGGGGAGACUGGAAUUCCUGGAUGUAGCGGUGAAAUGCGCAGAUAUCAGGAGGAACACCGGUGGCGAAGGCGGGUCCUGGC
rnacentral:rRNA from 1 species